GCGGACGUGGUGGAAUAGGUAUACACAGCAGACUUAAAAUCUGCCCCCUUACAAUGGGUUGUGGGUUCGAGUCCCGCCGUCCGCACCA
rnacentral:tRNA from 1 species